rnacentral:lncRNA from 10 species
CUUUUGCGUGCCUUCCACCGCCGCGAGCUCGGAAUGUCUGGCCCCGGGUGCUUCAGGGUCCGAGAACCUGCAGAAGUUCACACUUAAAUCCUACACGAGAGUCGUAUUUAUGAUGCAGAACUCGGUGCAGAACCCGAUGGAGUGCCCAAGGCGCUUGAGCCGUUCCUAGAAGGGGAAGGAGAGCCGCGGGCGGCAGCGGGGCAGGGGACGGAAUUGGGAAGCUUGGGAGCAGGAAGAAGGCCAGAGCUACUUAGGGUACAUUCCACUUUUGCUUGGCGCCGGGUAGGAACCCUGCUAGAAAGGAAGUAACGUGUGUUUGUCUCGUUUGCUGUUGUUUUACAAACAGGGAAAAUGAGGUUGAAAAGGGUGAAUGAAUUCCUUAAGGUCAAGAAAAAGGAUCGGUAUUCAAACCUGCCUAUCUGGAAGAUAAGCUUAGACUGCCCUACAGGAGGCACUGUGGCUUAUCCCCUUGGGGCUUUAAAGAUGUGAGGACCUUAGAGAUCCAUUAGUCUAACCUGUGCGUGGUGCAGCCUCCCCACCCCGACAACAAAUCCAUAUUUUACAGAUGGAGAAACGGAGGCCCAGGGAAGGGAUGUGCCCGAGGUCAUACAAAGAAGUUUGUGGGAAUCCAGGUCUGACUCGCACUCAAUCUAGUGCUCUAAUAAUGACUUGAGUGAAUUGUAUGAAUGUGCUCAGAGGUGGAGCAGCAAUCAUAAAAGUAAUAAUGGUACCAUUUAUGGACCAUCUAACUACUGUGUUAAAACAAUUUACAGGCCAUGCGCGGUGGCUCACGCUUGUAAUCCCAGCACUUUGGGAGGCCGAGGCGGGCAGAUCACGAAGUCAGAAGAUCGAGACCAUCCUGGCUAACACGGUGAAACCCCGUCUUUACUAAAAAUACAAAAAAUUAGCCGGGCUUGGUGGCGGGCGCCUGUAGUUCCAGCUACUCGAGAGGCUGAGGCAGGAGAAUGGCGUGAACCCGGGAGGCGGAGCUUGCAGUGAGCCGAGAUCGAGCCACUGCACUCCAGCCUGGGCAACAGAGCGAUACUCUGUCUGAAAAAAAAAAAAAAAGUUUACAUACAUUAUCGAGUUCAAUCCUUAAUCCCAUAAGGCAGAUAGAUACCCCAUCUUCCCUUUACAGAAAAAAGAAACUGGGUCAGAAAGAUUAGAAACUUGCCCAAAGGCAUGCAGCCAAUAAUAAGUAGGGGAGCCCAGGAUUCAAACUAUCUGACUAAUCCCUGCAAUCUAAACAAUACGCUAUACUGUCCCAGAAAGAGGCUGGAAAAAUCAUUUUCAGUCAUUAGCUUAAAGUCCACUCCGAUGCUUACAGAUAAUGUUAUUAUCUUUGACUUGAAGCCUUUGCAUUCUCUAUUUCCAAUUACCUUGGAAAAUAAGGAAUUGGAUAUGCUUAGGUUAGAGGUGGGGAAUUCCCAGAAAACAUAGAAAAGGUUGUCUCAUGUCAAGUUGGUCAGGGUCUUAAAUGUUAAGCUAAAGACUUUGGACUUCAUCUGCUAGGCAUUGUGGUACCUGUGGGGUUUCUGUGUAGGGAAGGACCAAAUAAAACAUCUGAGGGGGGGGAUAUGGCAAUAAUUUGCAACUUCUGGUGGUAGCUAUAGAGAAGGAUAAAGGGUAUAGCCUCAGGGAAUUUGUACAUUUAAAAAUAAAGGAUUUGGGCAGGUUGUCAUGGUUCACUCCUGUAAUCCCAGCACUUUGGGAGGCCAAGGCGGGCAGAUCACUUGAAGUCAGUAGUUCAAGACUAGUCGGGCCAAUGUGGCGAAACCCUGUCUCUACUAGAAGUACAAAAUUAGCCAGGUGUGGUGGUGCACACCUGUAAUCCCAGCUACCUGGGAGGCUGAGGCAGGGGAAUCGCUUGAACCUGGGAGGCGCAGGUUGUAGUGAGCGAGGUCGCGCCACUGCACUCUAGCCUGGGUGACAGAGGGAGACUUUGUCUCAAAAUAAUAAUAAUAAUAAAUGAAUGAAGGAAGGCAAUGGAAAUUAUCCAGACAUGGAUCUUGAAGUGGGAGAUACCCUAAUAUAUGUAGUCAAGUGGAAUGAUGACAGAAAGGGUCAGAUUUGGCCAUUGAAAAUCAAAUUACCGAUGACUUUGGAGAGAGCAGGAUCAGGAAAGUGGGUGCUUGAGAUCCAUUUUGGAGGAGUUGCGGAAAGAAUGAAAUAGGGAGAACGGGAAGCCGGCAAGUAUAGGUGACUUGUGUAGCCCAUCCCCUGAUAUCCUCUAUAUUCGUUUGCUAGAGUUACUGUAACAAAGUACCACAAACUGGCUUAAAUGACAGAAAUUGGUUGUCUCACAAUUCUGGAGGUUAGAAGUUCCAGAUCAAGGUGUCAUGAGAGUUGUGUGAGAACCGUGAGGAAGAAUCUGUUCCAUGCCUCUCUCCUGGCUUCUGGUGGUGGUUUGCCGGCAAUCUUUGUCAUUCCUUGGCUUAUAGAAGAAUCGCCCUGUUCUCUGCCUUCAUCUUCACUUGGCUUUCUUUCUGUGUGUAUGUGUGUCCAAUUUUCUCUUUUUAUAAGAAUACCAAUCAUAUUGAACUAGGGCCCUGACCUCAUCUUAACUAAUUAUAUCUGCAAUGACCCUAUUUCCUAAUAAGGUCGUAUUUGAAGUACUGGGAGUUAAGACUUCAACAUCUGGCUGGGUGUGGUGGCUUACACUUGUAAUCCCAGCACUUUGGAAGGCCAAGGCCAGAGGAUUGCUUGAGCUCAUGAGUUUGGGACCAGUCUGGGCAACAUAGUAUCACCUUGUCUCUAAAAAAAAUACAGAAAACAGGCCUGCGCGGUGGCUCACACCUGUAAUCCCAGCACUUUGGGAGGCUGAGGCGGGCGGAUCACUAGGUCAGGAGAUCGAGACCAUCCUGGCUAACGCGGGACUCAAGACUGGAAUGGGAAGAGCAUGAAAUUGAGCUGUCUAUCCCCCUGGAUCUCUCAUUGCCACCUGCCCAUAGGUUGGCUGCACCCCUCCACCAAAGAAAGGCCAUGACUCCUUCCUGGCAGCCCUGUCUUACAGCUACUCUCUGGUGAUCUGGGAACCACUCCCUCCCUUACCCCUUGAUGCCUAGGGCUAGUGCCAGCACCUUGUUGUUGUUAGCCUCAGAGGCACUUGCACUGUUCCUUGAUGGUUUUCCCAAAUCUUGCCCUCAUCUUUGUAAAUACUGUUUGCCGUUUAUUACACUGUCAUCAUAUUACCCAAUUUGAGUGUGUCAUCUAUUUCUUCCAAGACCCUGACUGAUACAGUGGGUAUAUUUGGAGCCAGAAAAAACAAUGACAACAAAACCAUUUGUUUGAGAAUUAGAAUGUGUUAGGAGAGUCCAUAAUCAGAACUGUCUGAGCACAUUUACUGCUGCCUAUGAACGGUUUAGAGGAUGAGGACAGCUGGCAUGGGAUUAAGGUAACCUUGUCCAGAAAGAUUUCAUUCAUUUAGAAAAAAUUUAUUGAAGGCCUACUAUCAUGCACCAAGCACUACUCUAGGUGCUGGGGGAAAAGGACAAAUAAAUCAUGUUCCUUUCCC